CCUACGGGAGGCAGCAGUGAGGAAUAUUGGUCAAUGGGCGCGAGCCUGAACCAGCCAAGUAGCGUGAAGGAUGACUGCCCUACGGGUUGUAAACUGCUUUUAUAAAGGAAUAUAGUUAAGCACGUGUGCCUUUUUGUAUGUACUUUACGAAUAAGGAUCGGCUAACUCCGUGCCAGCAGCCGCGGUAAUACGGAGGAUCCUAGCGUUAUCCGGAUUUAUUGGGUUUAAAGGGUGCGUAGAUGGAUUGUUAAGUUAGAUGUGAAAUUUUUGAGCUGAACCCGAGAAUUGCCACUGAUACUGGUGAUCUAGAGAAUAGAUGCGGUAGGCGGAAGGUAUGGUGUAGCGGUGAAAUGCUUAGAGAUCAUACAGAACACCGAGUGCGAAGGCAGCUGACCAAUC
rnacentral:rRNA from 1 species